rnacentral:lncRNA from 1 species
AAAAAAAAAAAAAACAAAAUGUAAUUUAGAAAAAAUUCAAGUUAAAAGAAGUUUAGAGGGUUCUUGCAAUAUGAAUUGAGAGAAUUUUCUAACUUUGUGAUCAUCUUUUGACCAUAAAUCAGUAGCACAACCUUGAUUUAUUGAUUUUCGCAUAUAAUCCAGGUAUAUGUUUAAAUUCGAAUUUACAAGUUUUUAUUUUAAUUCUUGCUCGAAAAUCAACAGUUUUCUAUUUCUACAACUCAACUCUCAUAAUUUCUAUAAAAAAAAAAUUUUCAACUGUGACAAUUUCAUUUCUCUUAUUCUCUUUUUUCUUUAUUGUACAACUUUCAGAGCGAUCGUCUGUUGAAUCUAUUGCAUUAGUAGUACUAUUUUGAGUUCCAUUUGCAUAUGGUUGUGGAAAAGCAAACAAAAAAGCUUGCGUCAUAACCGAUUUGUGACUUUGCUUAUACUCAUCAUUAAUUCUCUUUGUUGGAUCCCCAACAUUAUCUUAGAUUGAAUGAAAAUUCCAUUAAUACCAUAUAUCCCUUAGACGAUGGAUGGUCAAGAGCCUGAAAACAUUGUUGAUCCACGAAAUUGUUAGUGAUAUGCCCUAAAGGGCAAUCAAAUGAUGUUUGCUUUUAAGGAAAUAUUGUAUUUGAUUAGCAUUUUGAUAUUUAUAAAAUGUCUAAGUUAUCUGCAUUCAUAAAUUAAUUUAAUGAAUAUAUUCCAAGGUUUUCAGGAAUCUUUCCUCUUGAUUUUUGUUUUUGAAUGAAGUCGAUUCGAGGUUUCUAGACCUUUCGCCAUCUAUUUUAAUUUUACUGCACAAAAGUUGAGUUUUCAGGAAUCUUAUGGGUAAAUGUUGUCCUUCACAAAUCCCCUCGUUCAUCCCCCUGAUUGUCCUUCUGUGGAUCCCCCUAAUCUCAUUGUCGUCACUCCACAGCGAUCGUCCACCAACGAUUGGCUGAGACUGCCAAGAAAGGCAGCGGCGUGUCCAGCAUGUAAGUGAACGGCCGCAAACUUUUAUGUUCUAAACCACUGCACUUAAUGCGGAAUUGACAGCUCCCGUGUCAUCUGCAGUGCAGCACAAGUGCUGGAGCGUUCCGAUUUUGCUCACACCUGAUUGAGGAAGAAAGAGAGGAAACAAACUGCACUGAUUUUACUAAUAUACAAGUGAUACAAUUCUCUUGUUGGUAGGUACUGUUAAUAUAUCAAAUCCAUCGGUGUUUGAAUAUUAAAUUUCUUGUUUUAAAAUGAAAUUACGAAAUUAAAAUAUUAUAUAAUUUCUAUUAUUUUAUUUUUCUUAUAUAGUUUCUGUUAGAAAUAUAUAUCUAAAUAUAUAUUUAUAUAUAGGGUUUUAUUACUUCCAGGUCACCCAUGAGGGAAGCAUGACCAAGAGCAAGCGAUCAUUUUGAGUUAGAACUCUAUCAUAUUUUAAAUAUUAUAUUGAAAAAUGUUAAGUGAUUAUUAAGAAGAUGAUCACUAUAAAAUUUGUUUAAGCUUAUUUAGUGAACAUCUUAUUUAGUGAGCAUUGAGAAGAUGUUCACUACUCUCGGAAUGUUAUAAAUAGAGUGCAAAUCCAUAGAGGAAGGAGUGAACAAAAAAAAAAAAACAAAAUGCAAUUUAGAGAAAAUUCAAGUUAAAAGAAGUUUAGAGCGUUCUUGCAAUAUGAAUUGAGAGAAUUUUCUAACUUUGUGAUCAUCUUUUGACCAUAAAUCCGUAGCACAACCUUAAUUUAUUGAUUUUCCGCAUAUAAUCUAAGUAUAUGUUUAAAUUCGAAUUUACAAGUUUUUAUUUUAAUUUUUGCUCAAAAAUCAACAGUUUUCUAUUUCUACAACUCAACUCCCAUAAUUUCUCAAAAAAAAACUUUUCAACUGUGACAAUUUCAUUCCUCUUAUUCUCCUUUUUUUCUUUAUUGUACAACUUUCAGAGCGAUCGUCCGUUGGAUCUAUUGCAUUGGUAGUACUAUUUUGAGUUCCAUUUGCAUAUGGUUGUGGAAAAGCAAACAAAAAACCUUGCGUCAUAACCGAUUUGUGACUUUGCUUAUAUUCAUCAUUAAUUCUCUUUGUUGGAUCCCCAACAUUAUCUUAGACUGAAUGGAAAUUCAAUUAAUACCAUAUAUCCCUUGGACGAUGGAUGGUCAAGAGCUUGAAAACAUUGUUGAUCCACGAAAUUGUUAGUGAUAUGCCCAAAAGGGCAAUCGAAUGAUGUUUGCUUUUAAGGAAAUAUUGUAUUUGAUUAGCAUUUUGAUAUUUAUAAAAUGACAAAGUUAUCUGCAUUCAUAAAUUAAUUUAAUGAAUAUAGUCUAAGAUUUUCAGGAAUCUUUCCUCUUGAUUUUUGUUUUUGAAUGAAGUCGAUUCGAGAUUUCUAGAGCUUUCGUCAUCCAUUUUAAUUUUACUGCACAAAAGUUGAGUUUUCAGGAAUCUUAUGGGCAUGUGUUGUCCUUCACAAAUCCCCCUGAUUGUCCUUCUGUGGAUUCCCCUAAUCCCAUUGUCUUCACUCUGAUCAUUAAGAAGAUGAUCACUAUAACAAUUGUUUAAGCUUAUUUAGUGAUCAUUGAGAAGAUGUUCACUACUCUUGGAAUGUUAUAAAUAGAAUGCAAAUUCAUAGAGGAAAGAAGUUAACCAAAAAAAAAAAAAACAAAAUGCAAUUUAGAAAAAAUUCAAGUUAAAAGAAGUUUAGAGGGUUCUUGCAAUAUGAAUUGAGAGAAUUUUCUAACUUUCUGAUCAUCUUUUGACCAUAAAUCAAUAGCACGACCUUGAUUUAUUGAUUUUCCGCAUAUAAUCCAAGUAUAUGUUUAAAUUCGAAUUUACAAGUUUUUAUUUUAAUUUUUGCUCAAAAAUCAACAGUUUUCUAUUUCUACAACUCAACUCCCAUAAUUUCUCAAAAAAAAACUUUUCAACUGUGACAAUUUCAUUCCUCUUAUUCUCCUUUUUUUCUUUAUUGUACAACUUUCAGAGCGAUCGUCCGUUGGAUCUAUUGCAUUGGUAGUACUAUUUUGAGUUCCAUUUGCAUAUGGUUGUGGAAAAGCAAACCAAAAACCUUGCGUCAUAACCGAUUUGUGACUUUGUUUAUAUUCAUCAUUAAUUCUCUUUGUUGGAUCCCCAACAUUAUCUUAGACUGAAUGGAAAUUCAAUUAAUACCAUAUAUCCCUUGGACGAUGGAUGGUCAAGAGCUUGAAAACAUUGUUGAUCCACGAAAUUGUUAGUGAUAUGCCCAAAAGGGCAAUCGAAUGAUGUUUGCUUUUAAGGAAAUAUUGUAUUUGAUUAGCAUUUUGAUAUUUAUAAAAUGACAAAGUUAUCUGCAUUCAUAAAUUAAUUUAAUGAAUAUAGUCUAAGAUUUUCAGGAAUCUUUCCUCUUGAUUUUUGUUUUUGAAUGAAGUCGAUUCGAGGUUUCUAGAGAUUUCGUCAUCCAUUUUAAUUUUACUGCACAAAAGUUGAGUUUUCAGGAAUCUUAUGGGCAUGUGUUGUCCUUCACAAAUCCCCCUGAUUGUCCUUCUGUGGAUUCCCCUAAUCCCAUUGUCUUCACUCCACAGCGAUCGCCCACCUACGAUUGGUACCUAAGAUUGGCUGAGACUGCCAAGAAAGGCAGCGGCGUGUCCAGCAUGUAAGAGAACGGCCGCAAACUUUUAUGUUCUAAACCACUGCACUUAAUGCGGAAUUGACGGCUCCCGUGUCAACUGCAGUGCAGCUCAAGUGCUGGAGCGUUCCGAUUUUGCUCACACCUGAUUGAGGUAGAAAGAGAGGAAACAAACUGCACUGAUUUUACUCAUAUACGAGUGAUACAAUUCUCUUGUUGGAAGGUACUGUUAAUAUAUCAAAUCCACCGGUGUUUGAAUAUUAAAUUUCUUGUUUUAAAAUGAAAUUACGAAUUAAAAUAUUAUAUAAUUUAUUUUAUAUAAUUUCUAUCAUUUUAUUUUUCUUAUAUAGUUUCUGUUAGAAAUAUAUAUCUAAAUAUAUAUUUAUAUAUAGGGUUUUAUCACUUUUAGGUCAGCCAUGAGGGAAGCAUGACCAAGAGCAAGUGAUCAUUUUGAGUUAGAACUCUAUAAUAUUUUAAAUAUUAUAUUGAAAGAUGUUAAAUGAUCAUUAAGAAGAUGAUCACUAUAACAAUUGUUUAAGCUUAUUUAGUGAUCAUUGAGAAGAUGUUCACUACUCUUGGAAUGUUAUAAAUAGAAUGCAAAUUCAUAGAGGAAAGAAGUUAACCAAAAAAAAAAAAAACAAAAUGCAAUUUAGAAAAAAUUCAAGUUAAAAGAAGUUUAGAGGGUUCUUGCAAUAUGAAUUGAGAGAAUUUUCUAACUUUCUGAUCAUCUUUUGACCAUAAAUCAAUAGCACGACCUUGAUUUAUUGAUUUUCCGCAUAUAAUCCAAGUAUAUGUUUAAAUUCGAAUUUACAAGUUUUUAUUUUAAUUCUUGCUCGAAAAUCAACAGUUUUCUAUUUCUACAACCCAACUCCCAUAAUUUCUAAAAAAAAAAACUUUUCAACUGUGACAAUUUCAUUCCUCUUAUUCUCCUUUUUUUCUUUAUUGUACAACUUUCAG